ACGGCCCAAACUCCUACGGGAGGCAGCAGUAGGGAAUAUUGCACAAUGGAGGAAACUCUGAUGCAGCGAUGCCGCGUGAGUGAAGAAGGCCCUUGGGUUGUAAAGCUCUUUCGUCGGGGAAGAAAAUGACUGUACCCGAAUAAGAAGGUCCGGCUAACUU
rnacentral:rRNA from 1 species